GGACCAAAAGCAGUCACCAAGAAGAAAAACAUGGAUAACCAACUUGAAGUCCAGGCAUUUUCUUGAAGAAAGGAUUGGAGACUCCAGAUGGUUUGCACUGCAAGUGGCUGUGGAUUUCAGGUGAGCACAGAAAUGGACUAAGAUAUAUUCUGUUGCCGAACUAUUGGCUGACAUUCAAUGGUAGGGCUCAACUUGGUUGAGUACUGAAGGACCAUUGAGUACUGAAGCUCAAAUGGAACCACAUCACAGAGCAAAUUAGCAUCAUCAGAAGAGAUUGUACAACGAAUAAAGGCACAAAGGAAA